rnacentral:siRNA from 1 species
GAAUGAGAACCGUUGUACCUG